ACUGGCACACCCGCAUACAUAUACACACGCUAUAUCUCUCCCUUUUCUUACCCUGGUGCGUAGAGAUACACUCCACCCCUCCUCCGGAGUGUUUUCUCGUGUUGAACAAUCCAAGCAGCAUCACCAACAAAACAGAAAAAGGAAAGAGCUCUCGCCAAAAUAAAAAAAAACAGCUCUCUGGACCUACUGUUGGGAAACCAUCUUAUCAGAAACAAUAUAUACAGCUAGCUACCAAGAGAGCCCAAUCGUCCCGACCAGAAUCAACGACCGCCAGAGGCUCCUAAUAAGACCCAUCAGCCGAUUGCCAAACUUAUUGACAACACUAGACCAUAUGCAUUUCUGGACCCUAUGCUAUCUUCCCCACCACGGGGUUGCACCAUGGUGAACAUUGUGGAUAUCACAGAACACAUCUCCGGUAAAACCAUGGCAGGCAUAGCUACAAAUUUGAAGUAAGAGCAGACGCAGAGAUAGGCAUGAAUGGGAC
rnacentral:lncRNA from 1 species